rnacentral:rRNA from 1 species
UACGUAGGGUCCGAGCGUUGUCCGGAAUUAUUGGGCGUAAAGAGCUCGUAGGUGGUUUGUCGCGUUGUCCGUGAAAACUCACAGCUUAACUGUGGGCGUGCGGGCGAUACGGGCAGACUGGAGUACUGCAGGGGAGACUGGAAUUCCUGGUGUAGCGGUGGAAUGCGCAGAUAUCAGGAGGAACACCGGUGGCGAAGGCGGGUCUCUGGGCAGUAACUGACGCUGAGGAGCGAAAGCGUGGGGAGCGAACAGG